AUCAUCCAGCCAUUUAAGCAGGAAGUACUGGGCCGGCCCCUCCCACACUCCUGCCCUACUGCAGAUCUACAAGCAGAAAUGAUGAUCACUACUUUGCAAAAAGGAACUGCAGUUCCUCUACUUCAGCCAGAAAACUCUCAAAAUACAUGGUUACCUCCAAUCAGAGGUGGCUGUAAGAAGGAGCAGACUCUCUGAGGCAGACACCCGAUGGUUUUAGGACCUAGUGUGCUUUUUGGUCCCUUGGAUCCCAUCGAGGUGAGAACUUACCUCCACCACUGAAUCCAGGAUCUCCAUGCUCUCCUUGAUGCUCCUUUGAUGCGUCACCUGGACGGAUCUCAGUUCCACCGAUGUACAGCUCUAUCUAGCAGCCUAACUGUCCACCAUCCAUUUCUAUCUGAAAUAUUAUCCUUCUCCAGAUGCCACCAUUCCCUACCAACCACAUCUUCUGUCAAACAACUUCUUUGACAUCUUCAGACUAGUGCAGCUCUGACAGCUUAGUAGCUGUUGAAAUCCAUUCUCUAUCCUCCCCUACCUGUAAAUCACCUGCCUAACCAGUUUGCCUUUCUCCUUAGUGUUUCCUCUGGUCUGAUCCUCUGCAGCCACUCCUGGACUCCCUCUUCCUCUUUUCCACAUCUCAAUAAAUUUGUUAAACCUA